CCUACGGCAGAAAGCGGGGUCUCUUCGGACCUCGCUCUAUCGUAUGAUCCUAUGUCGGAUUAGCUGGUUGGUGAGGUAAUGGCUCACCAAGGCCACGAUCCGUACCUGGUCUGAGAGGAUGAUCAGCCACAUCGGGACUGAUACACGGCCCAAACUCCUACGACAGGCACCAGUGGGGAAUAUUGGACAAUGUGGGCAACCCUGAUCCAGCCAUGCCACGUGUGUGAAGAAGGCCUUCGGGUUGUAAAGCACUUUCAGCGCUGAAGAAAGCCUACAGGUCAAUACCCGGGAGGAAGGACAUCACUCGCAGAAGAAGCACCGGCUAACUCCGUGCCACCAGCCGCGGUCAUACGGAGGGUGCGAGCGUUAAUCGGAAUUACUGGGCGUUAAGCGCGCGUAAGCGGCUUGAUAAGCCGGCUGUGAUAUCACCGGGCUCAACCUGGGAACGGCAUCCAGAACUGUCAGGCUAUAGUGCACGAGAGUAAGGUAGAAUUCCCUGU
rnacentral:rRNA from 1 species